UAUGUGAAUACAUAGCAUAUCAGAAGGCACACCCGGAGAACUGAAACAUCUUAGUACCCGGAGGAAGAGAAAGAAAAUUCGAUUCCCUUAGUAGCGGCGAGCGAAACGGGAAGAGCCCAAACCAAAAAGCUUGCUUGUUGGGGUUGUAGGACACUCUAUACGGAGUUACAAAGGACGACAUUAGACGAAUCAUCUGGAAAGAUGAAUCAAAGAAGGUAAUAAUCCUGUAGUCGAAAAUGUUGUCUCUCUUGAGUGGAUCCUGAGUACGACGGAGCACGUGAAAUUCCGUCGGAAUCUGGGAGGACCAUCUCCUAAGGCUAAAUACUCUCUAGUGACCGAUAGUGAACCAGUACCGUGAGGGAAAGGUGAAAAGCACCCCGGAAGGGGAGUGAAAUAGAACCUGAAACCGUGUGCUUACAAGUAGUCAGAGCCCGUUAAUGGGUGAUGGCGUGCCUUUUGUAGAAUGAACCGGCGAGUUACGAUUUGAUGCAAGGUUAAGCAGUAAAUGUGGAGCCGUAGCGAAAGCGAGUCUGAAUAGGGCGUUUAGUAUUUGGUCGUAGACCCGAAACCAGGUGAUCUACCCUUGGUCAGGUUGAAGUUCAGGUAACACUGAAUGGAGGACCGAACCGACUUACGUUGAAAAGUGAGCGGAUGAACUGAGGGUAGCGGAGAAAUUCCAAUCGAACCUGGAGAUAGCUGGUUCUCUCCGAAAUAGCUUUAGGGCUAGCCUCAAGUGAUGAUUAUUGGAGGUAGAGCACUGUUUGGACGAGGGGCCCCUCUCGGGUUACCGAAUUCAGACAAACUCCGAAUGCCAAUUAAUUUAACUUGGGAGUCAGAACAUGGGUGAUAAGGUCCGUGUUCGAAAGGGAAACAGCCCAGACCACCAGCUAAGGUCCCAAAAUAUAUGUUAAGUGGAAAAGGAUGUGGCGUUGCCCAGACAACUAGGAUGUUGGCUUAGAAGCAGCCAUCAUUUAAAGAGUGCGUAAUAGCUCACUAGUCGAGUGACACUGCGCCGAAAAUGUACCGGGGCUAAACAUAUUACCGAAGCUGUGGAUUGUCCUUUGGACAAUGGUAGGAGAGCGUUCUAAGGGCGUUGAAGCAUGAUCGUAAGGACAUGUGGAGCGCUUAGAAGUGAGAAUGCCGGUGUGAGUAGCGAAAGACGGGUGAGAAUCCCGUCCACCGAUUGACUAAGGUUUCCAGAGGAAGGCUCGUCCGCUCUGGGUUAGUCGGGUCCUAAGCUGAGGCCGACAGGCGUAGGCGAUGGAUAACAGGUUGAUAUUCCUGUACCACCUAUAAUCGUUUUAAUCGAUGGGGGGACGCAGUAGGAUAGGCGAAGCGUGCGAUUGGAUUGCACGUCUAAGCAGUAAGGCUGAGUAUUAGGCAAAUCCGGUACUCGUUAAGGCUGAGC
rnacentral:rRNA from 1 species